AUUGUUCAGCUUGAGUCAGGGAAGGGAGUAGGUGAUCUCACACUGCUCUAGAGCCUGAAGUAGCAGCUACACUGUGUCCUGUCUGAGGAUGACCUGGGAGAAGAUUUGCUGGGAGUGCUGCUUGCUGUUUAUCUUCAGGAGAUGGAGGAUGAUCCUGAGCUGCAGUGUGGGGAAUGCAGCUCUUAUUUGAAUCCUGACACCAACUGUUGCCUGAAGACACAGUGAGACUUUCACUUUUAUCUGUAUUUCACCCACUGACAAUAUUAGUCAUGCCUCUAUAGAACUAUCAAGUCUGGAUGUGUCCCCAGCCGCUUCUCUGAAUCACAGGAACUGCAUGCUGCACAGACUUUGCUGCCAAGGGAAGCAGAUUCACCAUUUCCUGUGAAUCGUCAGCACCUUAACAGAAUACAGUUGUGCCCAGUUCUGUUCCAGCAAGAACUUCUGCUGCUCCUCCUCUGGAUAAAGUCUGUCUGUUUUGGGGGUUUCUGCUGGUUAUGGGGCUGCCAUCAAUAGUGCCAAGGUAUGUACAUGUAAGGACAAAUGGCACAAUUGCUUUCUUAGCAUGUUAAUGAAUUGUAUGUAGCAGGAAACUUUCCCAUGUUUCAGGACUACAAUUUAUGGAUGGAUUCUUAGUCCCCUGUUAUGCAGGUUAAACCUGGUUCUGCUUAUGCUAUUGUCAGUUUGGGCAGAGUUGGCCUCUCUGGCUGUAAAUUAGCUGGUGCUUCCCAGAUUGUUGGGAUUGACAUCAACAAAAAUUUUCCAAGGCUAAAAAGUUAGGAGUCACUGAAAGAAUAAACCCUCUAGAUUCCAAGAAACAUUCA